rnacentral:misc_RNA from 1 species
CUCCUCUGUCAGUGGUUCUCCAUUUUUCUUGCCCUCGCUACUGCUGGUCUUACUUUCUGUCACUAGCUCUUUCUCUUCAGGUAUGAUUCUACAAUUGUUGAUUAGAUUGUUUGCUCUUUUCCAUUUGUGGUGCAUCUUAUCUUUCAUUUGGAUAAAUUGAUUUUGAUAUAUGUUCCACUUUGUGUUUUUGAACAGUUGAUGAUGUGUAAUUAUGCACUUUAUUCUUUUUCAUGUUUACCAGAUUUUUCUUGCCACGAUAAUGAUUCAACAACUGUUAUUAUUUUGGUGUUCCUCAGGGUCUUCCUUUGGAUAUUUUAGCCUCGUUAUUAAAUUUGUUGUUGUCAGCGAGGGUGGUGUGCAAUGAUUGAUUAAAGAAAAUGAUGGAUUGUGAGAUUGAACAAGGGGAAAAGUGAAAAAGAAAAAGAAAAAAAAUGCAAAUGGCAGCUAUGAACCUAGGUGAGAGAAGGGUAUUAAGGAAAGGGUAUUCCAUGAAAAUCUAUGAUCAUACUUUUGUGCCAGAAAAAUGCAAUGGAACUUUAAUGCAUAUAAAGGAUUUAUUGUUUGAUGAUAGUUUGCCAUAUGCCUAUACAAUUUAGAUAUUUGAAGCAAUGUUUGUUUCUGUGGUUUGUUUUUAGCAGUCCAUAAUGUAGGUUCUGCACUUAGUUUAAAUUCUACUACUAAGAAAUAUUUUAGUUGUUUAUAGGCUGCAAUUUAUGUAAUAAACCCAAUAUAAAGAUUAAAGUGUUCCUCCCUAAUUCUACAAACCCAUAUGCAUUUUGAAGUACCACACAUUCUUAGAACACAAUUACGAUACUAAAUGUGGUGUCAAAUGGUCUGUUAGUUGGCACUGAGAAAAAUGUGUAACAGCAAAGCCAGGCCUGUUGGAAUAGAUAUAU